rnacentral:rRNA from 1 species
AUUGAACGAUGGCGGCAGGACUAACACAUGCAAGUCGAAAGAGUGGCGGACGGGUGAGUAAUGUCUGGGAAACUGCCUGAUGGAGGGGGAUAACUACUGGAAACGGUAGCUAAUACCGCAUACCAAAGGAUGUGCACAGAUGGGAUGAGCGAGUAGGUGGGGUAAAGGCUCACCUAGGCGACGAUCCCUAGCUGGUCUGAGAGGAUGACCAGCAACACUGGAACUGGUACACGGGCCAGACUCCGACGGGAGGCAGCAGUGGGGAAUAUUGCACAAUGGGCGCAAGCCUGAUGCAGCCAUGCCGCGUGUAUGAAGAAGGCCUUCGGGUUGUAAAGUACUUUCAGCGGGGAGGCGUUACCCGCAGAAGAAGCACCGGCUAACUCCGUGCCAGCCGCCGCGGUAAUAC